AGGUGCGAUCAUACCAGCACUACUGCACCCGAUCCCAUCAGAACUCCGCAAUUAAGCGUGCUUGGGCGAGAGUAGUGCUCGGUUGGGUGACCUCCUUGAAAGUCCUCGUGUUGAAUCUC
rnacentral:rRNA from 2 species